CUGAUCUCUGGAUGUGAUACUGAAGCUGAGGCUAUCAAUUACUACGAUGAGGCAAGAUCUAUCAUGAGUCAAGGAAACUUUAACUUACGUUCUUGGUCGAGCAACAGUCCAUUGCUCCAAGCACGCGCAGCAGAUGACUCUACCGACGAGAAAUCCGAGAGUGUCAACAUUCUUGGUCUUCAAUGGAAACCCACGACUGACAAGCUUACCUUAGUAGAGAACAGUGGUAGUUUCAACCCAAACGCACCAACAACGAAACGCAAGAUCCUGCAACUAUCCUCAAAGGUUUAUGAUCCGCUUGGCC